rnacentral:lncRNA from 1 species
CUUCAAUAUUAUUAUAGAUAGAGAUAAACUGUAAACAGCAAUAAUGUUCAGUGAAGUAAGAUUUACAAAUAAGUCAGCACGACCGAAAUGGUCAGUUGACCCCUUUGGGAGUUAUUGCCCUUUAUAGUAAAUUUUUAACCAUUUUUCGUAAAUUUUAGUAAUCUUUUACAAAAAUCUUCUCCCCAAAAACUACUGGGCUUAAUUAAUCCAAACUUGGCCACAAUCAUCUUUGGGGUAUAUAAUUUUAAAAAAUGUGUCCGGUGACCCGGCCAUCCAACCAAAAUGACUGCCACAACUAAAAAUAGAACAUAGGGGUAAAAUGCAGUUUUUGGCUUAUAACUCAAAAACCGAAGCAUUUAGAGAAAAUCUGACAGGGUUAUUGAGUUAAAUUGUCUGUUAGGUCAAGAUCUAUCUGCCCUGAUAUUUUCACAUGGAUCGGACAACCCGUUGUUAGGUUACUGCCCUGAAUUGGAAAUUUUAAGGAAAUUUUGCCGGUUUUUUUUAUUAUCUUAAAUAUUAUUAUAGAUAGAGAUAAAUUGUAAAGAGCAAUAAUGUUCAGCAAAACAAGAUCUACAAAUAAGUUUACAUGACUAAAAUAGUCAAUUGACCCCUUAAGGAUUUAUUGCCCUUUAUAGUUAAUCUUUAGCAUUUUUCAUAAAUUUUUGUAAAUUUUUAGAAAAUAUUUUCCACUAUAAUUACUGGGCCAAGUUCAUCAUUGUUCAUUAUAGAUAGAGAUAAUUGUAGCAACAAGAAUGUUCAGUAAAGUAAGAUCUACAAACACAUCACCAUCACCAAAACACAAUUAUGUCAUGAAUUUAUCUGUGUCCAUUGUUUAAUAUGCACAUAGACCAAGGUGAGCGACACAGGCUCUUGAGAGCCUCUAUUUCUAGUUGCAGGAUAAUAACUUGUGUAGAAGUAUUUCAAUUGCUCUGAAAUCAUAUCGCAAUGUGUAAAACCACAAGUAGAAGGUUUGGAUUCAUUUUACGGUUAUGGGGCCAAAGUUUAGGAAUUAAGGGCCAAAAAGGGGUCAAAACAAGCAUUUUUAUACGACCGCAAAAUUUGAAAAAAAUUUCGUCGUAUGUUGCUAUCACGUUGGCGUCGUCGUCGUCGUCGUCGUCCGAAUACUUUUAGUUUCGCACUCUAACUUUAGUAAAAGUGAAUGGAAAUCUAUGAAAUUUUAACACAAGGUUUAUGACCACAAAAGGAAGGUUGGUAUUGAUUUUGGGAGUUUUGGUCCCAACAUUUUUGGAAUUAGGGGCCAAAAAGGGCCCAAAUAAGCAUUUUCUUGGUUUUCGCACUAUAACUUUAGUUUAAGUUAGUAGAAAUCUAUGAAAUUUUGACACAAGGUUUAUGACCACAAAAGAACGGUUGGGAUUGAUUUUGGGAGUUUUGUUUCAACAGUUUAGGAAUUUAGGGACCAAAAAAGGGCCAAAUAAGCAUUAUUCAUGGUUUUCGCACAAUAACUUUAGUUUAAGUAAAUAGAAAUCAAUGAAAUUUAAACACAAUGUUAAUUACUACAAAAGGAAGGUUGGUAUUGAUUUUGGGAGUUUAGGUCCCAAUAGUUUAGGAAUUAGGGGCCAAAAAGGGACCCUAAUAAGCAUUUUUCUUGGUUUUCGCACCAUAACGUUAGUAUAAGUAAAAUAGAAAUCUAUGAUAUUUAAACACAAGGUUUAUGACCAUAAAAGGAAGGUUGGUAUUGAUUUUGGGAGUUUUGGUCCCAACAGAAAUAAGGGGCCCAAAGGGUCCAAAAUUAAACUUUGUUUGAUUUCAUCAAAAUUGAAUAAUUGGGGUUCUUUGAUAUGCCGAAUCUAACUGUGUAUGUAGAUUCUUCUUUUUUGGUCCUGUUUUCAAAUUGGUCUACACUAAAGUCCAAAGGGUCCAAAAUUAAACUUAGUCUGAUUUUAACAAAAAUUGAAAUCUUGGGGUUCUUUGAUAUGCUGAAUCCAAAAAUGUACUUAGAUUUUUUAUUAUGGGCCCAGUUUUCAAGUUGGUCCAAAUCAGGAUCUAAAAUUAUUAUAUUAAGUAUUGUGCAAUAGCAAGUCUUUUCAAUUGCACAGUAUUGUGAAAUAGCAAAUUUUUUUUUAAUUAGAGUUAUCUUUCUUUGUCCAGAAUAGUAAGCAAGAAAUAUCUAAUUGCAAAAUAUUGUGCAAUAGCAAGAUUUUUUUUUAAUUGGAGUUAUCUUUCUUUGUCCAGAAUCAACUUAAAUCUUUGUUAUAUACAAUAUACAAUGUAUAUUCACUUUUUACUACCAACUGAUAAAUUAAAAUAAUCUUUACCAUUCAGUGAUAACAAGCAGUUUUUUACAUCUUAAUAUUUUAUGAUGUAUUUAAAUGAGUAGUUAUUGUUGCAAACUCCAUUAGAAAUUUUAAUUGAGAUUAGUUUUGGAAUAAGGGAAAGGGGGAUGUGAUUAAAAAAAUUGGGUUCAAUUUUUCUCAUUUGAAAUUUCAUAAAUAAAAAAGAAAAUUUCUUCAAACAUUUUUUUGAGAGGAUUAAUAUUCAACAGCAUAGUGAAUUGCUCUAAGAGAAAACAAAAAUUUUAAGUUCAUUAGAACACAUUCAUUCUGUGUCAGAAACCUAUGCUGUGUCAACUAUUUAAUCACAAUCCAAAUUUAGACCUGAAUCCAGCUUGAAUGUUGUGUCCAUACUUGCCCCAACCGUUCAGGGUUCAACCUCUGCGGUUGUAUAAAGCUACGCCCUGCGGAGCAUCUGGUUCUAGUUUCAAAUCAAUAACUUGUGUAACUGUAUGGAUCUCUCUGAAAUUGUACUACAAGGUUCAAUACUGCAAUGGAAAGCAUGGGAUUGAGUUUAAGGGUUAUUGCUCAAAGGGGGUUGCGUUAACGAUUUUUGAAGGGCUUCCUUUUUAGCUCACCAGGCCUAAAAGGCCAAGUGAGCAUUUCUCAUCACUUGGCGUCCGGCGUCGUCGUUAACUUUUACAAAAAUCUUCUCCUCUGAAACUACUGGGUCAAAUUAAACCAAACUUGGCCACAAUCAUCAUUUAGGUAUCUAGUUUAAAAAAUGUGUCCGGUGACCCAGCCAACCAUCCAAGAUGGCCGCCAUGGCUAAAAAUAGAACAUAGGGGUAAAAUGCAGUUUUUGGCUUAUAACUCAAAAACCAAAGCAUUUAGAGCAAAUCUGACAUGGGAUGAAUUGUUAAACAGGUGAAGAUCUACAUGCCCUGAAAUUUUCAGAUGAAUCGGAUAACUCGUUGUUGGGUUGCUGCCCCUGAAUAAUUAAUUUUAAGGAAAUUUUGCUGUUUUUGGUUAUUAUCUUGAAUAUUAUUAUAGAUAGAGAUAAACAGUAAACAGCAAUAAUGUUCAGCAAAGUAAGAUUUACAAAUAAGUCAACAUGACUGAAAUGGUCAGUUGACCCCUUUAGGAGUUAUUGCCCUUUAUAGUCAAUUUUGACAAAUUUUUUGUAAUCUUUUACAAAAUUCUUCUCCUCUGAAACUCCUGGGCCAAAUUUAACCAAACUUGGCCACAAUCAUUAUUGGGGUAUCCAGUUUUAAAAAUGUAUGGCGUGACCCGCCCAACCAACCAAGAUGGCUGCCAUGGCUAAAAAUAGAACAUAGAGGGGAAAUGUAGAUUUUGGCUUAUAUCUCUAAAACCAAAGCAUUUAGAGCAAAUCUGACUGGGUAAAAUUGUUUAUCAGGUCAAGAUCUAUCUGCCCUGAAAUUUUCAGACAAAUCAGACAACCUAUUGUUGGGUUGCUGCCCCCGAAUUAGUAAUUUUAACGAAAUUUUGCAAAUUUUAGUUAUUAUCUUGAAUAUUAUUAUAGAUAGAGAUAAACUGUAAACAGC